rnacentral:rRNA from 1 species
CCUACGGGAGGCAGCAGUAGGGAAUUUUCGGCAAUGGGGGGAACUCUGACCGAGCAACGCCGCGUGAAGGAAGAAGGAAUUCGUUCUGUAAACUUCUGUUAUAAAGGAAGAAAGACGGAUGGAGGAAAUGACAUCCGAGUUACGGUACUUUAUGAGAAAGCCACGUCAAACUCCGUGCCAGCAGCCGCGUUAAUACGUAGGUGGCAAGCGGUAUCCGGAUUGAUUGGGCGAAAAGGGGGAGCGGGCGGCAGCAAAGGUCUGUGGUGAAAGACUGAAGCUUAACUUCAGUAAGCCGUAGAAACCGGGCAGCUAGAGUGCAGGAGAGGAUCGUGGAAUUCCAGGUGUAGCGGUGAAAUGCGUAGAUAUAUGGAGGAACACCAGUGGCGAAGGCGACGAUCUGGCCUGCAACUGACGCUCAGUCCCGAAAGCGUGGGGAGCAAAUAGGAUUAGAUACCCUUGUAGUC